UGGGAAACAGAGGCAGAAGAAAAAUUAUUAAAUUUCCUUACCCACUGACAAGCCCUUGAAACAGGUAGAGUGACAUUCCUCUAGGGACUCAACUACCUCCACCUUAAGGCUUUGCUAAGUCAGAGG